rnacentral:lncRNA from 1 species
AUCUACUUGCUCUCUUUUUAUAUAGGGAUUUGGUUUUUACCACCACUCCAUCUUUUAGAACAUCCUCAAAGAAAUAGAAGUUGUAAUCCAUAAAUAAAUCAGCCAAUUCUCUUUUUGAAUAAACUGUCUGUGUAUUCUAUUUGAAGUGAUAAAACUCUUUUGGGUGUAACAGUAUGAUCAAAUUUUACUUUUACAAGAGCGAAACAAAAAUGUAUGUCUGCUUUCUCCUAAACCAAACUUCUGUGUCUGUUCUUGGAGCCCAAUCAAAAAUGACAUCACAGAAUGGAAUAUAUUGCUCCUAAUUUAACACUUUGUGGGUGAUUAGAUCAUAUAAAUGUAGAUGUGGGAGACGUGAUUGAGAUCUUUGUAAAUCAUUGUGUUAAAAUAUAUGGUUUCAUUUAGUACAUUAAGACUGCAAGUGAAGUUCAGUUUCUGACUUCAUACACAAGUGCUAAUGAAUAGGCACAUUUACCACUGAUUAAAUAAAAAUAGCUUCCCACACUGACAAUUAAACAGGCCAGGCUUUAGAGAAUUAUUACUUAAAACUUCACCUGGCAUUCUUUUCAAUUUUCCAUGAGAUUUUUUUUUUCUGACCAAUUUACCCAGGGCUUUAAAACAAUAUUCACAUCCAGAACUAGUGUUUUUAAAGAUAUUUUAAGAGUUCUUUGCCAGACCACUCUGUCAAGGACCUCUUCUUACAAUACUUUUAUUGUUGAAGAGAUAAUAUCCAGGAGAAUUUAUUUUCAUAUAGACUUCCUUGUCUAAAUCAAAGUAUAAAAUUUUUUUUAAGAAUAAUUAAAAUGCUACCAUAACUUGAUGGAUGGGUGAAUAGAAGAAUGGAUAGAUGUACAGACACAUGAUAAAGCAAGUAUAGAAAUAUGUAAAUGGUAGAAUCUAGAUGAUGCGUGGAGGGAUGUAUACUGUACAGUCCAGCUUUGCUGUAUACUUGAAAAUAUUUAUAAUAUUAGAAAAUGCCAUCAUAAAUGUUAAAUCUCUAUGAAACAGAAAUGGAAAACACUCUAGAAUUUACCUAUGUAAAACCAACUUUGUAAAGCUAGAAGAAUUAUACUUUGGAAGUGUAUUCUGUGUCUAUUUAACACAUUUUAAAAACUUUUAUGAAAGAAUUUCUUAAAAACAGGUUGUAUCUGUUCUUCUUUACAGAAGUUCUCUAUCCAAAAUAGUUUCAGGAAGGAGGUUUCUUUGAUACAUAGGCUUAAAAUAAAAACCAAAUAUAAAAAAGUUUUUUGAACUGGAUGCCAGAAGGUGCUAGUAUAAGACAACACUCUCUCUAUAUACUCACGCACACCAUAGGGCUUUGUUUUUUUAGCUGGAACAAGUGGGAUGUGUUUGGUUGGGGGCAUAUACUGCAAGGAGAUUUUAAAAGGAUGGUGUCAGCUUUGUUCCCUGCCUCUAGAAAUGGGUUCGAUCCCUCAGGAUUAGAGACAUAAUGGUCCUGAAACUUUGGACACAAGCAGAGCUGCUGUGGGGUCUACAUUUAGAAAAUAUCCAGUAUCUAGAAAGUAAAGGUAGAGGCCAUUCUCCCAAUUAGUAUAGAAGUCAAGUCAGCUGUUACGGAAUAUCCAGAAGCAGCAUCAUUGUCUUGGACAUUGUUGUUCCCAGAGUGAGAGCCUUGAGCAGAGACCAUAGUGGGGUUCAUUCAAGCAGAUUCCUGGGCAGUGGUGAGGACAUCUAAAUGGGAGAGGGGAAAGUGACAGAUUUGUUGUGAUGCUGCCAUGACAGACUGUCUAGUUAACAUAAGUGAGGCUCCCUUUCGUUGUUCAUAGAAACAGAUGAGGGACACUGAAUAAGUUUAUUGUUUGGGAAUAUAUUCUCUAAGAGCAGAGCCUGAAGUGAAAAUUCUUUUUUUUUUUUUUUUUUUUGUCUUUUUGUCUUUUUGUCUUUUUGUCUUUUCUAGGGCUGCACCCUCGGCCUAUGGAGGUUCCCUGGCUAGGGGUCUAAUUGGAACUGUAGCCACCAGCCUUAUGCCAGAGCCACAGCAAUGCCAGAGCCGCAUCUGCGACCUGCACCGCAGCCUACCACAACACUGGAUCCUUAACCCACUGAGUGAGGCCAGAGAUCAAACCUGCAACCUUAUGGUUCCCAGUCAGAUUCAUUAACCACUGAGCCACAACAGGAACUCCAAAGUGAAAAUUCUUAUUCAAGUGAUUGAUUUGAGGAUUGUUCUCAGGAGAAGGGCAUGAGGGAAGCAUGAUAAAGAGGGGGAGGACAGCAUCCCAAAGUGAGGUCUCAGCUGGAGGUAAGCUUCAGUCAAACCUCACACAAAAGUUCUGGAGGGUAGAUUGCAUCUCACAACUGGUCCCCCCUUGAGGCUAGGGGUGCUGGUCUUCUGUGAGCGUGUAUCAGCCAGUCAUUGCCUGAAGUUUGGCCCAAAUAGGCUUGGGACAGCAUUCCAAAUGAAGAAGCUUCUAAGAGCAAUUCUUUGGAGAAAAGGGGAGCUAUGCCUUGUUAAAAUCCAAACCAUAGUAGUGAGUGCCACCAGUAAAGCGAGCUGGGUGGAGCACCAGGAACAUCAACACUGCUGCUUUUUUUUGUUUGUUUUUGUUUGUUUGUUUGUUUUUUGCUUUUUAGGGCCACACACUCAGUAUAUGGAGGUUCCCAGGCUAGGGGUCCAAUCGGAGCUGUAGCCAUGAGCCUAUGCCACAGCCACAGCAACUCAGGAUCCAAGCCACAUCUGUGACCUACACCACAGCUCAUGGCAACGCUGGAUCCUUAACACUCAGCGAGGCCAGGGAUUGAACCCGCAACCUCAUGGUUCCUAGUUGGAUUCAUCUCCACUGCGCCAUGACAGGAACUCCAUAACCAAAUAUUGAUCUUUGAUUAACUUUAAGCAUGUAGACCAAAAAUAGGUAAUGUGGUUUUCCUCUGGGGAAUGUACCUGAUUUAUCUAUGACAUUUGUAAGCUUCAUACUCAUUAGAUUUUUUUAUAAUAUCAAAAGAAGUAGCAAUAGUGAAAAAAGAAUUUGUUUCAGAGUUAGCUCACAGGGAAUUCAGUCCUAUUUCUACUACUUCUAUGGCUUCGGUCAAGUAUUUAAAUCUUUCUGGGCUUUUGUUAGAUAAGGAACAAUUGACAUUUGCCACAAUCUUAUUAAUAUUUUGCUUAUGAUAUCUAUGAGAUUAUUAGUAGCCAUUGAAAGUACUUAAACAGAGGCCAUUAGGUUUAAAGUAUCUUUGAGAAAGGGAAACCUGGUAACUAUAAGUAUACUCCCUGGAGGGAUAAGAAAUAGGCGUAGACAGUAGAGGGCUGGCACAAUAAUUCGAGCUUGAGGUAAUAAGGCCUUUCCUGCCUUCUUCCCCAUCCAGACUAUGUUAGAGUCCCUGCAGAACUCUCAAAGCACCUUACAAUUAUAUGAUCAGUGUUCAUUUUGGCCACUAAAUUUAACUUUGCUUAAGGGUAGAAACUAUGCCUUGUUCAGCAUUGUGUAACCAGAGCUGGACACAGUAUCUCGCAAAUAUUUGCUGAAUAAAUGAGAAAUUUGAACACAAUAGAGGAAUGUAUUUUAAUUCAGUAGAUACUGGUCAAGAAUAAAUGACAAGUCUUUCUCUUUUGUAUCUGAUGAAGGGAAAGAGUCAUAGGUAACUUUAUAGAUUUGAGCCUGAGAGGACAAUAGUGAAGAAAUUGAGAAGAUAAAUGUAUUAGUUUUCUAUUGCUGCAAAACAAAGUACUACAGCCUAGUGAUGAAAACAAUACACACUUGGAGUUCCCAUUGUGGCUCAGCAGGUUAAGAACCCAACAUAGUGUCUGUGAAGGUGUGGGUUAGAUCCCUGGCUUUACUCAAUGUGUUAAGGAUCCAGCGUUGCCACAAGCUGUGGCAUAGGUCACAGAAAUGGCUUGGAUCUGGCAUUUCUGUAGCUGUGGCAUAGGCUGGCAGCUGCAGCUGUGAUUCAACCCCUAGCCUGGAAACUUACAUAUGCUACAGACGUGGCCCUAAAAGAAGGAGAAGGGAGAGGAG